GAUGAACGCUGGCGGCGUGCCUAAUACAUGCAAGUCGAGCGAACAGACGAGGAGCUUACUCCUCUGACGUUAGCGGCGGACGGGUGAGUAACACGUGGAUAACCUACCUAUAAGACUGGGAUAACUUCGGGAAACCGGAGCUAAUACCGGAUAACAUGUUGAACCGCAUGGUUCAACAGUGAAAGACGGUCUUGCUGUCACUUAUAGAUGGAUCCGCGUCGCAUUAGCUAGUUGGUAAGGUAACGGCUUACCAAGGCAACGAUGCGUAGCCGACCUGAGAGGGUGAUCGGCCACACGGGAACGGAGACACGGUCCAGACUCCUACGGGAGGCAGCAGUAGGGAAUCUUCCGCAAUGGGCGAAAGCCUGACGGAGCAACGCCGCGUGAGUGAAGAAGGUCUUCGGAUCGUAAAACUCUGUUAUUAGGGAAGAACAAAUGUGUAAGUAACUAUGCACGUCUUGACGGUACCUAAUCAGAAAGCCACGGCUAACUACGUG
rnacentral:rRNA from 1 species